AUGAUGUCAUAUUGUUCCUCUUCAUUUCAGGCACCGGAGAAUGUCAGGAUUUCCUCAGCCGUCUUCCUACGUAGUCCCUCCAUAUUGGUCACAGAAGGACGCGUCCUACAUCAGUGUGUCGUCUCGGCCCUCGUCCGGCCGCGCUCUCGGUGCUCAGGUGCUGCAGACGCUCAGUCUGAGAGCAGCCGCCGCAGACGCCAGGAUCCUACGGCUGACAGACGCAGACAAACCCAGCGCUUUCCAGCUGCGCAAGUUCUUCAGACGCCUGGCCUUCAGACAGUGACGCGCGCCGGACUCAAGCGCUGCAGACCACACACUGGUUAAACACACACACACACACACAGGUGAAUCCUCAUCACUGGCUGCUCUGUGCUUGUGUCUGCACGCUGGCUUUGCUGUAGAUAUAUCCCUGACUCUCUGUACAGUAUUUGUGUGUGUGUGUGUGUGUGUGUGUGUGUGUGUGUGUGUGUGUGUGUGUGUGAGGGAUGCUGGAAACACACUCGACUCGGACGAGGAGAUGUUCACACUCAGCAUAUAUUCAUCUACACAGUGCAAGUGUGACACACUGGAGGAUAUUUAGAGAGGAAGCUCUGACAGAACUGCCACUGUGUGAAACCCAUAAUCCAUAAAAACACAAGUGUGAUCUGAUUAUGAGCUGGAUUACGUUAUCAGAUCACAAACAUUAAACACUUGUCAUUAAUCAGACUACACUUACCUUUUUAUGGAUUACAUGAUCACAUAUUAUUCACACAAUGGCAAUAAGUGAUUCAUAAUCUAUUGAUUGUGCUCUUUUUCAUCUUUUAAAGGUUCCUUUCUAAAAUAACCUGCGGCUUACGUUCACUCAGAAAGUCUUGGCUUGUGUGGAGAUUCACUCAGAGAUCACUGGAUGUACAAAAUCAGUUCAGGUUUAAGAAGUGUUUCAGUACUGACUCAACUACUGAUGAACUCGGUGUUAUUUAACUCUGUAUAUCUGGCUCUUUGCAAGGCUUUUCUUUCAAACUCAUUAAACUCACACGUGUUUCUGUCAUCUGAUCCUCUCUCAUCUAAUAUGCUUUUAUCUGAAGUACCCUGAGAUUUUAUAAUAAUUUAAUAAUGCAGCAUCACAUCUGCAUGUUCAUCAGUUUUCUGAUGUUGGUUAUGGUCACAUGACAUGCAGCUAAACAAAUAAAAUAUAGCAUUUUGUUACCUGACGUAAUAUAAUGUUUAAUGCACUUCAUGUUGUUGAUGACAACAAAUG
rnacentral:lncRNA from 12 species